GUCUGUUCUGGGGGGGCUCUGGGGUGGGUUUGAUGUCCCCAAAAAGGCCAAAGGGGACCCCGGGCGGCUCUGCGGGUCAUCAAGUGGUCGCAGCACCCAGGUUGGGGGACGGGGUUGGAGGGAGUUUGGGGUUUUUUCCACCGAGUGAAAUCCUGAGAGCGGCCCUGGCUGGGCCGGGUUUCCCUGAGCUCCGUAAGGGUCGGGGGCAGCGGGGGCGCUCGUAACCGGCUAUGAGAAUCAUGGGAUCAUGGAAGGGUUUGGGUGGGAAGGGACCUUAAAGACCAUCUAGUCCCACCCCCUGCCCUGGGCAGGGACAUCUUCCAGAGAAGGGGAGACCUUCUGGGUUGGAGACCUCUGUGUCCGGACCUCUAUGUGCGUUUCUUCAAGGUCUUUUCCAGAACCUGUCCACGAUAUUACUGGAGUUGGACCUAAAUUAUUUGGAUUUUCAGUGAUUGUGCCUUCCUGAUGGAUGCGUUACACGCAGCAGGGUACCUCAGAAAAGGCAGGAAAUCUCUCUUUACUUAGUUUUACAUAAAGCCAGCACUAUAAUCUAAUGUUAUUGUGAUGCAAAUAAAGUUAUGUUAAACCAACGGCAUCCGGUACCCUGUUUACUGCCGUGUCAUGUCAUUAAUAUUUGAAGACUAAAGGGCGAAUAGUGGCUUUUUAGAGCCCUUACUCUAAAAGGUCUUUUCUUCCCCUUUAAUCAUCAUCUGCCUCCUUAGCGGCCGAGCACAGGGGAGCUUUUGUGGCUGGAAGCGAAGGCAUUUGUAGCAGUGAAGAGAGAACUCGGGUGGACGGUGACUGACUCUCCCAGCGCUAGAAGCCCUCGCCGAGGGUGUUCGCAGGGCUCCUGAAGGGACCGACGAGCUCAAGGAGGAGAAAUCCAGGUGGGCAAAUUCCGUGGGUGUUUGGCAGCUGCCGGUGAAGAGUCUUGUCCUUGGGUUCAGCCUCUGCAGCAGCAGCAGCUGGAGAACAACCGGGACUCCGCGGGACAGACCUGAGCCAGAGCGAGGGGUGCAGCAGGGCACAGUGCUGCGGCUUGAUGGGAGAAUAUGAAUAACAGUGGGCUGCUAGAAAGUGAAGAAAAGGCUCUUCCAUCAGGAGAUGCCACCCAGCCUGGGAGCGAGGAGUCUCCUGAGUCACCGCUGCCCCCAAGCCCUGAGUCCGGGGGGUUCCCCUGGUCCUGCCGCGGCGUCUGUUUCGGGGUAAGCAUUUCUGCUGAUGGCAGGAAACGCCUGGAGAACAUCGUGUGGGUCCGGGGAGGAAAUAGCAGAGAUAAAGCGUAGACAUUGUCUGGCGAGAGAGGGAGUUUUUCCUCUGGGCGUUGUCUGGCGUUACAAGAUACCAUCAAGCCUUUGUCAUGAGGAAAUAUGCAAAAUCCAUAUUGCCGUUUGAGAGGAAACUCAAGGAGGCUUCGGUAGCUGCAGAGACUGAGCUGAGAAAACCAGUGACGAGCAGCAGCAGGUUUCUUCUGGCAGCUGGAGAGAAAGUUCUGGAGCACUUUGAAAUGGUACAGGAAGAAACCAAAAAAAUGUGCUCUUUUUUUUUAUGACCUGCAGCAUUAGUUAUGAUGAGAGAUUACGGAACUGCUUUCACUGAUAAUUUUUAAAAUAGAGUAAUAGCUACUGAACGUGGGCUGUUUGGGCAGCUUGAUCCUUUCCUGGUGUGCAGGUUUGGCCUUGAUGUCAUAGAAUCACAGACUGGUUUGGGUGGGAAGGGACCUUAAAGGCCACCCAGUGCCACCCCCUGCCCUGGGCAGGGACACCUCCCACCAGCCCAGCUUGCUCCAAGCCCCGGCCAACCUAACCUUAGCUCUUGAGCAGAAUCACAGAAACAUAGAAUUGCCCGGGGUGGAAGGGACCUUUCAGAUCAUCGAGUCCAACCGUCAACCCAACACUGCCAAGCCCACCACUACCCCGUGUCCCUCAGCACCACGUCUGCCCGGCUUUUAAAUCCCUCCAGGGAUGGCGACUCCACCACUGCUCUGGGCAGCCUGGUCCAAGGCUUGAUGACCCUUUCCAUGAAGACAUUGUUCCUCAUAUCCAUCCUAAACCUCCCCUGGCACAACUUGAGGCCGUUUCCUCUUGUCCCAUGGCCUGUUCCUUGGGAGAAGAGACCGACCCCCCCUGGCUACCCCCUCCUUUCAGGGAGCUGUAGAGAGUGAGAAGGUCUCCCCUCAGCCUCCUUUUCUCCAGGCUGAACACCCCCAGCUCCCUCAGCCGCUCCUCACAAGAGUAGGGUUGUUUUUCCCUUGGUCUCAAGCCUGGUGCGAUUUCAAGGCUCCUGUCUAUCCUCUACGGAGAAUUGGGGUGAAUAGAGAAAUUCUCUGAGAACUGGAAUGGGGCUAACGCAACUCCGGUCUUCCAGAAGGAAAAGGAGAGCGUGGAGGGUUACGGACGGGUCAGCCUCAGCCUGCAGAGAGCACGGAGCACGUCCUCCUGUGAUCCCUGUCUCCAAACAGAUGAAGCACAGGAAGGCAAACAAGAGCAGCCAACGUGGAUUUUGCCAACAGCAGAUUGUGCUUGACCAAGCACCGAGUUAAGGCUUUAAGUGCUGUAAAGCAGUAGCCCAUUAAAUGUUUUGUCUGUUACCUUCUUGACAUCCCUCCUGUUAACGUCUCAUUAGAUCUUUCAGGGAUUGUUAACGGCCCUGGUGAUGAGGUUUUCUGAAGCGGUGGCUUAACGUAUUCCCGGCCCAGACUCAGCUCCUCUCAGCUCCACAGAGGCAUGGGACAGGGCGUGGGGAAUGCCAGUGCUGCCAGAAAUCUCCCCCACCUGCAUUCCUUGGAGCAGCAGGAGCUCCCCACGCCGCUUGUUGGAGGUUUUUUCUGUCCGGGUUUUUCUCAUCAUACCCAAAACUCACCCCGAGGGAGCUUGCUCCGAAGUCUGGUACCCCCGUGCUUGACCAGGAACCAAAACCUCCGGUGAGUCAGUGCUGCCAGACAGGGAGAAACGGCUUCUAGCAGUGCAAAGGGCUCUAUCUGGGCUUGGUCUUUUUCUUCAAGGGGGCGUGGGCGCCUCUAAGAGAGUUUUGCGGCAGGAAUGAGAGCAUGGGGCAGGGAGCAGGUGGGAAGGUGCUGGAAACCCCGGCUGGUGCCGUCCUGGGAAUAAUUCUCCGCCUGGCUGGUGCAUCGUUGUCCUGAGAGCAACCUUCCAGUCCCUCAAGGGGCUCCAGGAAAGCUGGGGAGGGACUCUGGAUGAGGGAGGGGAGCCAUGGGACGAGGGGGAAGGGGUUUCCACUGCAAGAGGGGAGAUUGAGCUGAGAUCUCGGGCAGAAAUUCUCGGCUGUGAGGGCGGUGAGCCCCUGGCCCAGGUUGGCCAGAGAAGCUGUGGCUGCCCCAUCCCUGGAGGGGUUCAAGGCCAGGUUGGCCGGGGCUUGGAGCAAGCUGGGCUGGUGGGAGGUGUCCCUGCCCAGGGC